rnacentral:misc_RNA from 1 species
UCUCCGUUGGUGAACCAGCGGAGGGAUCAUUGAAGAGUUACACAACUCCAAACCACCGCGAACCAAACUUUUGUUGCCUCGGUAGGCGGCUCCAGGGGGAGCCUCUAGCCCCCUCUCGGGGGGUGCCUGCCGCAGGCCCCCAAACCUCUGUCGUACCUAAGCAGUCUGAGAAUUUGGCAAUUAUCAAAACUUUCAACAAUGGAUCUCUUGGCUCUGGCAUCGAUGAAGAACGCAGC